UAGCCCUUAAUGCUAGCUGAGCUCUCUGUAUUCCAGCCUUGAUGACAGGCUUGUGGUAGCGUGUGAGAGCUGAGUUCAAGAAGCGUGAUAUUAAAACAAAAGCCAUGACUUUUUGAAACCAGGCUUGCCAAGACACGCUGUGAGUUCACAACUCAUCUGCACAAAU
rnacentral:snoRNA from 10 species